GGGCACAUGGUGUAGUUGGUUAUCACGUUCGCUUCGCACUUGUUCAAGUUGUACUGCGAAAGGUGUUGGGUUCAAUUCCCAAUGUGUCCA